rnacentral:misc_RNA from 1 species
AAUUCUCAAGCUGGAUAGUUUUCCGGUUUGGAUUUGGACUUUGCUGUGUGACUACGGCUGGUCUUAAAGGCAUUAGCUGAAUCUUGGUUUGGGACAUGCAGCGUGAUAAUUGUGAUCGCUGACCCCUCUAUGCCUCGAAUCGCUUCUAAUUUGGCUUAAUGGGAGAACCGUUAACCAACCUUUUUCAUG